UACAGAGGUCUCAAGCGUUGUUCGGAUUCAUUGGGCGUAAAGGGUGCGUAGGCGGCGCGGUAAGUCGGGUGUGAAAUCUUGGAGCUUAACUCCGAAACUGCAUUCGAUACUGCCGUGCUUGAGGACUGGAGAGGAGACUGGAAUUUACGGUGUAGCGGUGAAAUGCGCAGAUAUCAGGAGGAACACCGGUAGCGAAGGCGGGUCUCUGGGCCGAUACUGACGCUGAGGAGCGAAAGCCAGGGGAGCAAACGGG
rnacentral:rRNA from 1 species